rnacentral:rRNA from 1 species
UACGUAGGGGGCGAGCGUUGUCCGGAAUCAUUGGGCGUAAAGCGCGUGUAGGCGGUCCGGUAAGUCCGCUGUGAAAGUCGGGGGCUCAACCCUCGGAUGCCGGUGGAUACUGUCGGGCUCGAGUACGGAAGAGGCGAGUGGAAUUCCUGGUGUAGCGGUGAAAUGCGCAGAUAUCAGGAGGAACACCGGUGGCGAAGGCGACAUCCUGGACCGGUAUUGACGCUGAGGCGCGAAAGCCAGGGGAGCAAACGGG